rnacentral:tRNA from 1 species
GGGGAUUUGGUCUAGGGGUAUGAUUUCUCUUUCGCAUAUUGGUCUCCAGCAGAUCAAUUGAUGCAUAGAGAAGGUCGUGGGUUCAAUUCCCACAAUCUCCA